GCCUAAGGACACACAAACACACACAAACACACACAAACACACACGAACACACACAAACACACACACACAAACAGAAAUUAGAGGGAGAGGACUCACUGGAAACCGGCCCACAAGACAACUGUAAUUUACAAUACAGAUUCUAAAUUCAUUUGGUGGGCCAGAUUAUUGGGUUGGUCCUGGCAUCAGGUUAUAUGUUUUACACCACUGACAUAGAGUUUGGUCUGUAUUUGGAAUCGGAGAGAUACUAAAGAACAUGGUCAUAGUACUAUACUACCCAUAGAUUGGGACAUCUACAGACAAGUGUAUACACAAUAUGUAGUGUAUACACAAUAUGUCACCAUCUAACGCAGCCAUUAAUGAAAGAAGACCACUGUGUGUGAGUCACAGAAGGAUUGCUAGGAUUUUGAAAUAUUCUCAACACUGUAGUAUAUACAUGUUUAAUAAUGUGCCCAGUACUUGUACACUUUGUAUAAAGCGUGCCAAUGUGGUAGGUGUACCUGAUAAAUGGACAAUUAAAGUAUAAGCAAGCGUGUGUUUGUAUAUCUUUGUAUAUCUUUGUAAUUAUUCGUGGUUGUGUAUACGAAUAAUUUGACAUACUUCUAUGGUACUUUUUGCAGCAACACUGUGUAUAUGGAUGCAGGUGACAUAGCCAGGAAUUCUGGCCCCCUGAAAGAAUAUUACUUUGGACCCCCAAACCAUUUUUAAUUUCAUAUUGCAUUUUUGUACAUUAAAUAUAGUCAGACAUUCUAUUGGAAUUUUUGUGGUUCCCUCCCUCUAACGAUGAGAGCUAGAAUUGCCACCAUCUUUCACUGUACUAGUGACAGCCGUGUGUGCACAGCUAAAGUGAUGAGUGGGUGUGUUACGGCCCACACAGAUC